rnacentral:lncRNA from 1 species
GUCCUUAUAAAAAGGGAGAAGAACACACACACACACAUACACACAUGAUGUGAACAUCGAGGCAAUUCGGAGUGAAGCGUCUGCAUGCCAAGGGGCACCGAGGACUUCCAGCAGCCACUAGAAACCGGGAGGGAGGCCUGAAAUAGAUUAUCCGUCACAGGCUCAGAAGGAAGCAGACCUGCUGACAUCUUCAUUUUGGACCUGUAAAAUCCUGAACUAUGACUGGAUGCAGAAGAGAGAGAUACAAGACCACAUGAUGGAAGGGGCCAUCCUCACUGACUUCACCACCUGGAAGGAAGCUAUGGAGGAGAAUUGCCCAAACAAAUACAACUGCAUCAAAUUUUGCCUCUGUAAGAAAUAGAUCUUUGUUAUGCUACAAUAGGUCCCUGAGAUUUGGAUUUUAUUUGUUAUAGUAGCUAGCAUUAUUUUUACUUAAUAAAUGGUUCUUAAUAAAUGGUUUACUUAAUAAAUGGUUCUCACGGUUCUGUAAAGCUGCAACAUGCUUUUAAAAUGUUCAGACACAAUGAUCAAACAACAGGAAGCCAAUAAAGGACUUUAUAAAAUUUAGUUCUGGAUCAGUGCAUUAUCUGGCCUUUUCUUGGGUCUUUGUUAGACUUUGACAUUCUAUUAGUGGAUUGUUAAGAUACCUGCGUGCAUUAAUACACAUUCAAUUGUGAGUUUUAAAC